UACGUAGGGUGCAAGCGUUAAUCGGAAUUACUGGGCGUAAAGAGUGCGUAGGCGGUUCUUGAAGUCCGCUGUGAAAGCCCCGGGCUUAACCUGGGAAUGGCAGUGGAAACUGGAGGACUUGAAUUGAGCAGAGGGGGGUAGAAUUCCACGUGUAGCAGUGAAAUGCGUAGAGAUGUGGAGGAACACCGAUGGCGAAGGCAGCCCCCUGGGUCAAGAUUGACGCUCAUGCACGAAAGCGUGGGGAGCAAACAGG
rnacentral:rRNA from 1 species